rnacentral:rRNA from 1 species
GACGAACGCUGGCGGCGUGCCUAAUACAUGCAAGUAGAACGCUGAAGAGAGGAGCUUGCUCUUCUUGGAUGAGUUGCGAACGGGUGAGUAACGCGUAGGUAACCUGCUUUGUAGCGGGGGAUAACUAUUGGAAACGAUAGCUAAUACCGCAUAACAAUGGAUGACACAUGUCAUUUAUUUGAAAGGGGCAAUUGCUCCACUACAAGAUGGACCUGCGUUGUAUUAGCUAGUAGGUGAGGUAAUGGCUCACCUAGGCGACGAUACAUAGCCGACCUGAGAGGGUGAUCGGCCACACUGGGACUGAGACACGGCCCAGACUCCUACGGGAGGCAGCAGUAGGGAAUCUUCGGCAAUGGGGGCAACCCUGACCGAGCAACGCCGCGUGAGUGAAGAAGGUUUUCGGACCGUAAAGCUCUGUUGUAAGUCAAGAACGGGUGUGAGAGUGGAAAGUUCACACUGUGACGGUAGCUUACCAGAAAGGGACGGCUAACUACGUG